rnacentral:rRNA from 1 species
CACUCCUACGGGAGGCAGCAGUGGGGAAUAUUGGACAAUGGGCGCAUGCCUGAUCCAGCCAUGCCGCGUGAGUGAUGAAGGCCCUAGGGUUGUAAAGCUCUUUCACCGGUGAAGAUAAUGACGGUAACCGGAGAAGAAGCCCCGGCUAACUUCGUGCCAGCAGCCGCGGUAAUACGAAGGGGGCUAGCGUUGUUCGGAUUUACUGGGCGUAAAGCGCACGUAGGCGGACUAUUAAGUCAGGGGUGAAAUCCCGGGGCUCAACCCCGGAACUGCCUUUGAUACUGGUAGUCUUGAGUUCGAGAGAGGUGAGUGGAAUUCCGAGUGUAGAGGUGAAAUUCGUAGAUAUUCGGAGGAACACCAGUGGCGAAGGCGGCUCACUGGCUCGAUACUGACGCUGAGGUGCGAAAGCGUGGGGAGCAAACAGGAUUAGAUACCCCUGUAGUCCCA